UGGGGAAUAUUGCACAAUGGAGGGAACUCUGAUGCAGCGACGCCGCGUGAACGAAGAAGGCUUUCGAGUCGUAAAGUUCUUUUAUAUGGGAAGAUAAUGACGGUACCAUAAGAAAAAGCCCCGGCUAACUACGUGCCAGCAGCCGCGGUAAUACGUAGGGGGCUAGCGUUGUCCGGAAUCACUGGGCGUAAAGGGUUCGCAGGCGGAAAUGCAAGUCAGGUGUAAAAGGCAGUAGCUUAACUACUGUAAGCAUUUGAAACUGCAUAUCUUGAGAAGAGUAGAGGUAAGUGGAAUUUUUAGUGUAGCGGUGAAAUGCGUAGAUAUUAAAAAGAAUACCGGUUGCGAAGGCGACUUACUGGGCUCAUUCUGACGCUGAGGAACGAAAGCGUGGGUAGCAAACAGG
rnacentral:rRNA from 2 species